CCUAGGGGGUGCAGCAGUGGGGAAUAUUGGACAAUGGGCGAAAGCCUGAUCCAGCCAUGCCGCGUGUGUGAAGAAGGCCUUCGGGUUGUAAAGCACUUUCAGUGGGGAAGAAAGCCUUGGGGCUAAUACCCUCGAGGAAGGACAUCACCCAUAGAAUAAGCACCGGCUAACUCCGUGCCAGCAGCCGCGGUAAUACGGAGGGUGCGAGCGUUAAUCGGAAUUACUGGGCGUAAAGCGCGCGUAGGCGGUCUGAUAAGCCGGUUGUGAAAGCCCCGGGCUCAACCUGGGAACGGCAUCCGGAACUGUCAGGCUAGAGUGCAGGAGAGGAAGGUAGAAUUCCCGGUGUAGCGGUGAAAUGCGUAGAGAUCGGGAGGAAUACCAGUGGCGAAGGCGGCCUUCUGGACUGACACUGACGCUGAGGUGCGAAAGCGUGGGUAGCAAACAGGAUUAGAUACCCCUGUAGUC
rnacentral:rRNA from 1 species